CCAAGGAAGGAGAUGCAUAGUUGUGCAAGUGGUGUCAUUGUUUGGACAAACAUCAGACCUACUGUUAAAAAUUUUAUAGACAAUAGCUACAUUUAAAACUUGCAAGUUUUGGGUUCUAUGAAGAACGGAGAACAAGUGAUUAGCAGGGUACAAGUCAUUAUUAAUUGAAGAACAAGAAUAAUAUAUUAGUGAUAUUUGGGAAUUUUGAAGUGUUAGGAUUUCAUUAAUUGGAUGCAGCGAAGAUGAACUACAAAUCGUGGAUGAAGAAAUCAAAAUCCAGAUUGAGUGAGCAUAAAGAGUUCCAUUAUUAGCUGAAAAUGGAUUCACUGAAAUAACAGUUGAAGAAGGAGAUAUUACAAAGCUUAAAAGAAACAAGGGCAAACUCAUUCCUAAUUCAGCAGCGAGACACACGCAAGGUGUUUGUGAAAAAGCUUGACCGUGUAGUUCCUUACAAAUUUAAUUUCAGCUGUCACCAGUUCUUGAACCAAUUGUUUUCACCGGUUAAACACCAACAGUUCUACUAUCGACAGUAUCAUCAUCAACAUUAUAAGGUCUUAUCUAAUAUUGAUUUUAUUUUUUGAUUCUGAAUUUGAGCUUUGAUGUGUAAUUUGGAGAUCCUGCAUAUUUAUCUGUUUUCAUAUGAAUUUGUUGAUGAAUCAUUGUACUCAUAAGAAUUGAAUCAAUUGGAUAAUGGUGGAAUUUUUUCAUUA